GGAAAAAUCUAUUUUUUUUUUGGAGUGGCGUACUCGCUCAAAAACAUUUCUUUAAUUGAUGAUGAACAUAUUGAUGUGGAACAUUAGGAGUAUUCUUUCGUCGAAGAAUAGGCUCCAGCGUAUUUUAAAUAAAAGUAGGUCGUCUAUGGUAGCUCUCUUAGAACCUUUUCUUGGGAGCAAAUAAAUGUUCUCAAUGGGCAAGAUGGAUAAAGUUGCCAUGUUUUUUUAAUAAUGCUGAGGUUGGAGGAAAAAUAUGGAUUUUUUGGAAGGAUGAUUUUGAGUUUGAUUUUAUUUCUAUGUCAGACCAGGCAGUGAGUGGCUGGUUUAUUCAUGGUAGCUUGAGAGUUCUUGUUACGUUUGUCUAUGCAAGUUGCUUCCAGAGUAAGCGAGUAGAGCUUUGGGAUUUUUUGUGUGCACAAGACCCGAGUAGUUGUUCAUGCUUCUUUGGGGGUGAUUUUAAUAUUAUUUUUUCUAAUGAUGAAAAAGUUGGUGGUAUUAUGCAGGCACCCCAGGGAAAAGCUAAAUUUAACGCCCCGUGGAAAAGCUGAAUUUAAUGCUUGGAUUCAACAAUGUGGUUUGAUUGAUUGGCCUAACAUAGGGAACUGAUUGUCUUGGUGCAAUGGUAGUCUUGGGGGAAGACGUAUUUGGGCAAGAUUGGAUAGAGUUUUGGUGAAUACGGAAUUCUUUAAUUUAUUAGGUGAUAUUAGAGUUGAGUAUCUUUCGAGAUCAUUUUUGGAUCAUUUGCUGAUGUUAGUUUCAUUAAUGCGUGACCAAAGCAUGGUUGCAAGGCCUUUCCAAUUUCUGCGAAUGUGGGAACACGAGGGGUUUUUAUUGUUGGUUAAAGAGGUGUGGAGUGCACAUGUAGAUGGUUUCCCAAUGUUUCGUAUUAGUAAAAAGUUGAAUGCUUUGAAAGGUGCUUCGAGGAAAUGGAAUAUUGAGGUUUUUGGAUGAGUAGAAGUUGAAUUACAGAACUUGGAGAAUCGUAUUGCGGAGCUGGAGCAGUCGGUUUCAGCUAACUAUUCUUCUCAAGUUGAAGCUGUUUUAUUAAAUUGUAAACAUCAACACUUACAAUGGCUGAAUUGGGAGGAAAUCUUAGGUUGUCAAAAGUCCCAUGUGAAAUGGCUAACGGAGGGGGACUCUAAUACGGCGUAUUUUCAUGCUAUGAUGUGAGUAAAAAAAAAUAAUAAGAGGGUUGAUAAAAUGAGGUUGGACAAUGGACAGGUAUUGGAAUCUUUGGAUGAAAUCCAAAACAACACUGUUACUUUUUUUUUCAAGAAAUGCUUGCUACGGAUGUAGUGAACUUUGAUGAAGAAUCACUUUCUUUGCUUUUGCCGUCAGUUACACUUCAAGAAAAUGAAGCGUUAACUGCAAGGCCGUCCAUGGAAGAGGUAAAACCUACUUUAUGGUCUAUUUUGACAAAUAGUAGCUCGAGUCCGGAUGGUUUCUCAGCUAGUUUCUUUAUUCUUGCUUGGGAUAUUGUUAAGUAUGAUAUUGUAGAGAUGGCCAUAGAAUUUUUUUAGGGGAAGCCGUUGUCAACAUUCCUUGGUACCACUGAUCUGGUGCUCAUUCCUAAGGUUGAUGAACUUGUGGGUUUUGGGCAAUUUCGGCCUAUUAGUCUUUGUUCGGUGGUCUAUAAAAUUAUGGCGAAGGUGAUGGUGUUUCAAUUGGCUCCGUUGUUAAAUCAUUUCAUCUCUACUGAGCAAGCGGCGUUUAUUAGGGGGAGAAGUAUCUUUGAUAACAUAGUUAUUGCUCAGGAGUUAGUCCAUGGUAUCAAUUGGAAGGUGAGAGGAGGAAAUGUUAUACUAAAAAUCAAUAUGGCAAAAGCGUACGAUAGAGUCCAUUGGCAGUUUUUAUUGAAGGUGUUGAGAAGAUUGGGUUUUUCGAAAAAAUGGAGGAAUAUGAUUUUCAAUUAUAUUUCCUCUCCGUUUUAUUCCGUAAUGUUGAAUUGAUGUUCUCAGAGUUUUUUCAAGGCUUCUAGGGGUCUUCAUCAAGGUUUAAGGCCCACGUAAGCUGACUUAAGAAGAGAAGGACGAAGGUUUCGGGACAGAAUCCUCGAUAAGCAAGAGAGAGAGGAAGAGGAGAGAAAUAGUUACGGGAGAAGGCAUGGAAGGGCAAAAAUCAAUGGCAAGGAAAGAGAGUGAAGGCAGGACUUGCGCAUAAAAGGGGAGGUUGAUGCCAGAGACCAGGACGUAGUUAGGAUAACAAUUCGAUUUUCGUUUUUACAUUUCAGAAACUUUCGAGAGUUUUUAAGGUUUUUCAUUUGAGUUUGGCGAAAUACUAUGUUUAUGAUGGUGAAGUUAGGUUAAUUCUGAAGCUUGGGUGGGUUGCGGUAAAAGCUUUCAUUUGUUUUCUAUACUUGCUGGAUUUCUGUAGUUGUUGAUUUAUAUACUUCACUUUAUCGGAAAUCAAGUUCUGGAAAUGGGAGUUUGAUGGAUUCUCUUGUU